rnacentral:rRNA from 1 species
CAGUAGCCGCGGUAAUACGUAGGUGGCGAGCGUUGUCCGGAAUCAUUGGGCGUAAAGGGAGCGCAGGCGGGCAUGUAAGUCUUUCUUAAAAGUGCGGGGCUCAACCCCGUGAUGGGAAAGAGACUACAUGUCUUGAGUACAGGAGAGGAAAGCGGAAUUCCCAGUGUAGCGGUGAAAUGCGUAGAUAUUGGGAGGAACACCAGUGGCGAAGGCGGCUUUCUGGACUGCAACUGACGCUGAGGCUCGAAAGCCAGGGGAGCGAACGGGAUUAGAGACCCCUGUAGUCCCUGUCUCUUAUACA